UUGCUUUGGCAGCAUACAUACUAAAAUUGGAACAACACAGAGAAGACUAGCAAUGGUUGCUGUGCAAGAAUAACAUACAAAUUUAUUAAACAUUCCAUAUUUUU
ensembl:snRNA U6 U6 spliceosomal RNA